rnacentral:piRNA from 1 species
ACCCUCACAAGGGUGUGGACUUGAC